CUUAAUCAAUUUUCCUUUUCUCUUCGUUCAUUACUAAGUUGAGUUUGAAGAAAAUAAAAAGAAAGGGGCCGAGAAAGAAAAGAGAGAACUGUAACCCUUUCAUAAGUUUCGGCUUCGAUUUCUUAAGUUUCGUAAUUCUAAUUAAAAAUUUAGUCCAAUAAAAGUGUUCGUAUCUUCCUCCUCUAUAUAUUGGCGUUACUUUUGUCUGGUAAGAGUUGACGGUGACGUAACUCUUCUUCUCUUUGAGUUCGGCCAACUGGAGUUCUAGGAGGCACAGACGAUUUCGGACGUUUUUCCUUUCAGCAGCUCGGUCAUAAAGUUUUUCCGGAAUUUCGAGUAUUUCGAUUACGUACGAAGAUUGCAGAUAAAUGAAGAACAGCAAAGGUCCUUGUAGCAGCAGGAAAGAAAGUAUUGGGACACAAAAUGAGAUGACUGAGUAAUAAUUAUAAUAGUUAGAAAAUUGAUCAAAGUAGUUGAAUGUUUUUUCUAAUUGGUAUUAAAAGUUUCAUUGAUCAAGUGUUAUGUUCAACAGAAGCAUGCAAACUGAAAUUGGUGCAUAAUAUGUUGAAUCAAUUUGGAUCAUAAUUUUUCAGGUGCA